GACUCUUAGUGGUGGAUCUCUUGGCUCGUGCGUCGAUGAAGAACGCUGCUAGAUGCGUUAAUUGAUGGAAAUCGCAAUCCAUUGAUCAUCGACCCUUCGGACGCACAUUGCGGCCCGGGGAAACUCCCUGGGCCACGCCUGCCUGAGGGCCG